rnacentral:rRNA from 1 species
GGGGUGGUGGAGAAUACCGAGGGGCGCGAGGUAACUCUCUCUAAGGAACUCGGCAAAAUGGCCCCGUAACUUCGGGAGAAGGGGUGCCAGCGAGAGCUGGUCGCAGUGAAGAGGCCCAGGCGACUGUUUACCAAAAACACAGGUCUCCGCUAAGUCGCAAGACGAUGUAUGGGGGCUGACGCCUGCCCAGUGCCGGAAGGUUAAGGAAGCUGGUCAGCGCAAGCGAAGCUAGCGACUGAAGCCCCGGUGAACGGCGGCCGUAACUAUAACGGUCCUAAGGUAGCGAAAUUCCUUGUCGGGUAAGUUCCGACCCGCACGAAAGGCGUAACGAUCUGGGCGCUGUCUCGGAGAGAGGCUCGGCGAAAUAGAAUUGUCUGUGAAGAUGCGGACUACGUGCACCCGGACAGAAAGACCCUAUGAAGCUUUACUGUAGCUUGGUAUUGUGCUCGGGCUCGGAAUGCGCAGGAUAGGUGGGAGGCUUGGAUCCAUUGCUUGCGGGUGAUGGUGAGCCACUGGUGAGAUACCACUCUUUCCGAGCUAGAGUUCUAACCCUCGCCCGUUAUCCGGGGAGGGGACAGUAUCAGGUGGGCAGUUUGACUGGGGCGGUCGCCUCCUAAAAGGUAGCGGAGGCGUGCAAAGGUUCCCUCAGGCUGGUUGGAAAUCAGCCGACGAGUGCAAAGGCAGAAGGGAGCUUGACUGUGAGACCUACAAGUCGAACAGGGACGAAAGUCGGCCUUAGUGAUCCGACGGUUCUGCGUGGAAGGGCCGUCGCUCAACGGAUAAAAGUUACUCUAGGAUAACAGGCUGAUCUCCCCCAAGAGUUCACAUCGACGGGGAGGUUUGGCACCUCGAUGUCGGCUCAUCGCAACCUGGGGCUGAAGUCGGUCCCAAGGGUUGGGCUGUUCGCCCAUUAAAGCGGUACGCGAGCUGGGUUCAGAACGUCGUGAGACAGUUCGGUCCAUAUCCGGUGCACGCGCAGGAAUAUUGAGAGGAUUUCUCCCUAGUACGAGAGGACCGGGAGGAACGCACCUCUGGUGUGCCAGUUAUCGUGCCAACGGUAAACGCUGGGUAGCCAUGUGCGGAGAGGAUAACCGCUGAAAGCAUCUAAGUGGGAAGCCCACCUCAAGAUGAGUAUUCCAUGGCAAAAGCCAGUAAGGUCACGGGAAGAUUACCCGUUGAUAGGCUCUACGUGGAAGCGCAGCAAUGCGUGAAGCGGAGGAGUACUAAUAGACCGAGGGCCUGAC